NNNNNNNNNNNNNNNNNNNNGCCCCGCCCAACAGCCACCGCAGGGAAGUGGGCAAGUGUUUGCAGACAUAAACUGGAUUUCAAGGGUCGUGGGUCUCCCUCGGGAUGGAAAACAGCAUGGGGCAAGGCGAGGUGGGGAGAGGUGAGGAUGGGAGAGCCCCAAGAGAAGUAGGACUGGUCCAGUGCAAGAGGAGCAUCCUCAGUGGAUCCCCAUUCCCAGUGCCUCCCCACCACAUCCCCAUUGCUUUCUCAAGGCAUCCCCAUUGCAUCCCCAAGGCAUUCUCAAUGAUUCCCCACCACAUCCCCAUUGCAUCCCCAUGGCAUCCUCAUUGCCUUCCCCAGGCAUUCCCAAGGCAUACCCAGUGCCUCCCCAUUGCAUCCCCAUUGCCUUCCCAAUGCCUCCCCAUUGCACUCCCAUUGCCUUCCCAAUGCAUCCCCAUUGCAUUCCCAGUGCAUCCCCAGUGCAUCCUCAUUGCCUUCCCAAUGCCUCCCCAUUGCAUUCCCAGGGCAUCCCCAGUGCAUCCCUGUUGUCUUCCCAAGGCAUCCCCAGUGCCUUCCCCAUUGCCUUCCCAAGGCAUCCCCAGUGCCUCCCCAUUGCCUUCCCAAGGCAUCCCCAUUGUGUCCCUAUUGCCUUCCCAAUGCAUUCCCAGUGCAUCCCCAGUGCAUCUCCAGUGCAUCCCCAUUGCCUUCCCAGUGUCUCCCCAAUGCAUCCCCAUUGCAUUCCCAGUGCCUCCCCAUUGCAUCCCCGCCAUCAAGGGAAGGGAGGAGGCAGGCAAACACCAUGCAAAGCCCCGUCAGCAUCGAAGAAACCGCCCCGCAUUGGGGAAGGCUCCCGCUUUCCUGGGCUGAAUUUCCCUGCCUUCACCCUGCUCCCUUCCGGUCUGAGUCGCUUCGACGCUCCGGGGCUUCACCCUUCUCGGGAAGCAAAACCACUUUCCUCCCUCCUUCCUUCGCGUCCCGCGGAGCAGCUCCACGCUGGCCUCGGGGCUUCCUUGCUGCAGCACCGGGGGGGCUUUUCCCCGACUCUGGCCUGGGAAAACUACCUCCCCCGUGCCGCUGGAGAUUGCUCUCGCAGGAUAACGAAAGCCGCGUUGCCCUUGAGAAGAGCGGAGCCGUCAGCGCCCAUUAGGAGCCGGCGUGCUGGGAAUGGCACGGGGCUUUGGGCAUCAAAGGCACCGUCCCGGCCGGCUCCAGCGGGGCAGAAGAAUUUAAUCGAGAGGCCGGACAUGAGGGGACCCGGGAGCAGCGGCUGGGCACGUUAAUUAACACAGGGCGGCUGGCGCCCUAAUUA
rnacentral:lncRNA from 1 species